rnacentral:rRNA from 1 species
UGUACCUACGGGGCGCAGCAGUAGGGAAUUUUGCGCAAUGGGCGAAAGCCUGACGCAGCAACGCCGCGUGAUUGAUUAAGCCCGUCGGGGUGUAAAGAUCUGUCAGUGGGGACGAAACUUGACGGUACCCACAGAGGAAGCACCGGCUAACUCCGUGCCAGCAGCCGCGGUAAUACGGAGGGUGCAAGCGUUGUCCGGAAUCAUUGGGCGUAAAGCGUUCGUAGGUGGCAUAUUAAGUCUGGUGUUAAAUGCAGAAGCUCAACUUCUGUUCGGCACUGGCUACUGGUAAGCUUGAAUGCGGUAGG